rnacentral:lncRNA from 1 species
GGGGUCCCUCCACGUUUGCAAAACGUGGAAGGAGGUUCACUAGUAUGUAAUUGUUAUUUACUUUGAAGUUCCUUCUUCGAGGCAAGCUCGAAUCCAGAAAAGAAAGCAAAUAGAAUGAGUGUGUGUUGAAUGUGAUGAAGAGUAACUUGGAAGUGAUCAAGUACUCUUUGAAUGACCAGAGAUUAAGGAAUCUCUGUGUUUCGGAAUGUCCCAGAAGUGAACAUGAGCUGUCUUCUUAUAGGGGAAGACAUCUCCUGAAAUGGCAUAUACAAGACUAGCGAAACCUGUUUGCAAUGGAGGGUUUCCCCUUUUGGGGUUGAAGGCUUUGGACCCCUGGUUAAUAGAGUGCAUCACAUUUCUUCAAUUGCUCAACGGUGUCACGAUGCAUUGAUGGCCAGAAGUAUCCAAGGU